GCGAGCGGCGGAUGGGUGAGUAACACGUGGGGAACCUGCCCCUAAGUCUGGGAUACCAUUUGGAAACAGGUGCUAAUACCGGAUAAUAAAGCAGAUCGCAUGAUCAGCUUUUGAAAGGCGGCGUAAGCUGUCGCUAAGGGAUGGCCCCGCGGUGCAUUAGCUAGUUGGUAAGGUAACGGCUUACCAAGGCGACGAUGCAUAGCCGAGUUGAGAGACUGAUCGGCCACAUUGGGACUGAGACACGGCCCAAACUCCUACGGGAGGCAGCAGUAGGGAAUCUUCCACAAUGGACGCAAGUCUGAUGGAGCAACGCCGCGUGAGUGAAGAAGGUUUUCGGAUCGUAAAGCUCUGUUGUUGGUGAAGAAGGAUAGAGGUAGUAACUGGCCUUUAUUUGACGGUAAUCAACCAGAAAGUCACGGCUAACUACGUGCCAGCAGCCGCGGUAAUACGUAGGUGGCAAGCGUUGUCCGGAUUUAUUGGGCGUAAAGCGAGCGCAGGCGGAAAAAUAAGUCUAAUGUGAAAGCCCUCGGCUUAACCGAGGAACUGCAUCGGAAACUGUUUUUCUUGAGUGCAGAAGAGGAGAGUGGAACUCCAUGUGUAGCGGUGGAAUGCGUAGAUAUAUGGAAGAACACCAGUGGCGAAGGCGGCUCUCUGGUCUGCAACUGACGCUGAGGCUCGAAAGCAUGGGGUAGCGAACAGGAUUAGAUACCCUGGUAGUCCAUGCCGUAAACGAUGA
rnacentral:rRNA from 1 species